rnacentral:misc_RNA from 1 species
AGGUAAAUGGGCACACUGCAGUCUUAAAUCAUUUGCUGAAUUUGAACGGAAGGCACUGUUAAGAGUUUUUUUCAUUGGAUGCUGUUUCUGUUCAUUAUGUUGUUGAUAUGAGCAUUUGCACAGUUCAGGCAUUUUAGAUCUGUGAAAUUACUGAAGAAAUUAAUUGUACAUUGUUUGAAGGUCACUUUUAUUCUUGAUGGUUUAUCAUACAUAUUCAAUUGAUCUAAGGUCUAAGUCAUUUAAGUUGACCAAUUUGUGCAGUUGAUUGAUGAUAAUAGAUGGUAC